UACGAAGGGAGCUAGCGUUGUUCGGAAUCACUGGGCGUAAAGCGCACGUAGGCGGAUUGCUAAGUCAGGGGUGAAAUCCUGGAGCUCAACUCCAGAACUGCCUUUGAUACUGGUGAUCUUGAGUCCGGGAGAGGUGAGUGGAACUGCGAGUGUAGAGGUGAAAUUCGUAGAUAUUCGCAAGAACACCAGUGGCGAAGGCGGCUCACUGGCCCGGUACUGACGCUGAGGUGCGAAAGCGUGGGGAGCAAACAGG
rnacentral:rRNA from 1 species